GAUGAACGCUAGCGGGAGGCCUAACACAUGCAAGCCGAGCGGUAUUUGUUCUUCGGAACAGAGAGAGCGGCGCACGGGUGCGGAACACGUGUGCAACCUGCCUUUAUCUGGGGGAUAGCCUUUCGAAAGGAAGAUUAAUACCCCAUAAUAUAUUGAGUGGCAUCAUUUGAUAUUGAAAACUCCGGUGGAUAGAGAUGGGCACGCGCAAGAUUAGAUAGUUGGUGAGGUAACGGCUCACCAAGUCAAUGAUCUUUAGGGGGCCUGAGAGGGUGAUCCCCCACACUGGUACUGAGACACGGACCAGACUCCUACGGGAGGCAGCAGUGAGGAAUAUUGGACAAUGGGUUAGCGCCUGAUCCAGCCAUCCCGCGUGAAGGACGACGGCCCUAUGGGUUGUAAACUUCUUUUGUAUAGGGAUAAACCUACUCUCGUGAGAGUAGCUGAAGGUACCAUACGAAUAAGCACCGGCUAACUCCGUG
rnacentral:rRNA from 1 species